GCAGUCGACUGGAAUUCACUUUCGGGUGAUAGUACGGUGGCGGACGGGUGAGUAACGCGUAAAGAACUUGCCCUCUAGACUGGGACAACUGUUGGAAACGACAGCUAAUACCGGAUAUUAUGAGAUUCUCGCAUGGGAAACUUAUGAAAGGCUAUAUGCGCUAGAGGAGAGCUUUGCUGCCAUUAGGUAGUUGGUAGGGUAAUGGCCUACCAAGCCGACGAUGGCUAGCCGGCCUGAGAGGGUGAUCGGCCACAAGGGGACUGAGACACGGCCCUUACUCCUACGGGAGGCAGCAGUGGGGAAUAUUGGACAAUGGACCAAAAGUCUGAUCCAGCAAUUCUGUGUGCACGAUGAAGGUUUUCGGAUCGUAAAGUGCUUUCAGGUGGGAAGAAAAAAAUGACGGUACCACCAGAAGAAGCGACGGCUAAAUACGUGCCAGCAGCCGCGGUAAUACGUAUGUCGCAAGCGUUAUCCGGAAUUAUUGGGCGUAAAGCGCGUCUAGGCGGCCUUUUAAGUCUGAUGUGAAAAUGCGGGGCUCAACUCCGUAUUGCGUUGGAAACUGGAAGGCUAGAGUAUCAGAGAGGUGGGCGGAACUACAAGUGUAGAGGUGAAAUUCGUAGAUAUUUGUAGGAAUGCCGAUUGGGAAGCCAGCUCACUGGAUGAAUACUGACGCUGAAGCGCGAAAGCGUGGGGAGCAAACGGGAUUAGAUACCCCGGUAGUCCACGCCGUAAACGAUGAUCACUAAGUGUGGGGGGUCGAACCUCCGUGCUCAAGCUAACGCGAUAAGUGAUCCGCCUGGGGAGUACGCACGCAAGUGUGAAACUCAAAGGAAUUGACGGGGACCCGCACAAGCGGUGGAGCAUGUGGUUUAAUUCGACGCAACGCGAGGAACCUUACCAGCCCUUGACAUCCUCAGAACUUAGCAGAGAUGCUUUGGUGCCACUUCGGUGGAACUGAGUGACAGGUGGUGCAUGGCUGUCGUCAGCUCGUGUCCUGAGAUGUUGGGUUAAGUCCCGCAACGAGCGCACCCUUUCGUAUGUUACCAUCAUUAAGUUGGGGACUCAUGCCAUACUGCCGAACAAACCGGAGGAAGGUGGGGAUAACUUCAAGUCAUCAUGCCCCUUAUGGGCUGGGCUACCCCCNUGCUACAAGGGGCAUACAAAAAGUCCCCAUACCCCCGGGUG
rnacentral:rRNA from 1 species